rnacentral:tRNA from 1 species
ACCUGGCUGGCUCAGUUGGCAGAGCAUCUGACUCUUGAUCUCAGGGUUGUGGGUUUGAGACCCACCUUGGGCA